rnacentral:rRNA from 1 species
ACGAGAGGCCCAAACGUUAUUCGGAAUCACUGGGCUUAAAGAGUUCGUAGGCGGUCUAGAAAGUUGGGUGUGAAAGCCCUCGGCUCAACCGAGGAACUGCGCUCAAAACUACUAGACUUGAGGGAGAUAGAGGUGAGCGGAACUGAUGGUGGAGCGGUGAAAUGCGUUGAUAUCAUCAGGAACACCGGAGGCGAAGGCGGCUCACUGGGUCUCUACUGACGCUGAGGAACGAAAGCUAGGGGAGCAAACGGGA